CCGGCUCUAGAUACAACCAAAAUCACACACUCAUAUCAUAUGUGUCGAGAGACCAUGAGGAAGAGGGAAAGAAAAUAUGCUACAAGUAGAGGGAAAGCAUAUUUUGGCAAAGGUAAUUAGGCGCUCAAUUAUCCAUAUAUAGCGUAUUACUAUGUUUCAAGAUGAGGAUGAAUAUAUAAAUGGAUCAUUUCAUCAUUUAGUG
rnacentral:lncRNA from 1 species